rnacentral:rRNA from 1 species
AAAUUGAAGAGUUUGAUCAUGGCUCAGAUUGAACGCUGGCGGCAGGCCUAACACAUGCAAGUCGAACGGUAACAGGAAACAGCUUGCUGUUUCGCUGACGAGUGGCGGACGGGUGAGUAAUGUCUGGGAAACUGCCUGAUGGAGGGGGAUAACUACUGGAAACGGUAGCUAAUACCGCAUAACGUCGCAAGACCAAAGAGGGGGACCUUCGGGCCUCUUGCCAUCGGAUGUGCCCAGAUGGGAUUAGCUUGUUGGUGGGGUAACGGCUCACCAAGGCGACGAUCCCUAGCUGGUCUGAGAGGAUGACCAGCCACACUGGAACUGAGACACGGUCCAGACUCCUACGGGAGGCAGCAGUGGGGAAUAUUGCACAAUGGGCGCAAGCCUGAUGCAGCCAUGCCGCGUGUAUGAAGAAGGCCUUCGGGUUGUAAAGUACUUUCAGCGGGGAGGAAGGGAGUAAAG